UGAACUUAAGCAUAUCAAUAAGCGGAGGAAAAGAAACCAACAGGGAUUGCCUCAGUAACGGCGAGUGAAGCGGCAAAAGCUCAGAUUUGAAAUCUGGUAUCAUUUUGGUGCCCGAGUUGUAAUCUGUAGAGGAGUAUUCGAGUGUAGCUUUGGCUUAAGUUCCUUGGAACAGGGCGUCAUAGAGGGUGAGAACCCCGUUAACGGCCUCAGUCUUAUGCUCAUGUGAAUCUUCUUCAACGAGUCGAAUUGUUUGGGAAUGCAGUUCUAAAUGGGUGGUAAAUUCCAUCUAAAGCUAAAUACUGGCAAGAGACCGAUAGCGCACAAGUAGAGUGAUCGAAAGAUGAAAAGAACUCUGAACAGAGAGUUAAACAGUACGUGAAAUUGUUGAAAGGGAAGCACUUGCUACCAGACGCACUUGCAGUCGAUCAACCUCCAUUUUUUGGUGGUGCACUCGGUUGUAGGUGGGCCAGCAUCAGUUAUUAGCGGUGGGAUAAAGACCUUGGGAAUGUGGCUUCCUUCGGGGAGUGUUAUAGCCCUUGGUGUAAUACCAUCUGUUGUGACUGAGGACCGCGCUUUUGUGAGGAUGCUGGCAUAAUGGUCGUAAGUGACCCGUCUUGAAACACGGACCAAGGAGUCUAACAUCUAUGCGAGUGUUUGGGUGUUAAAACCCUUACGCGAAAUGAAAGUGAAUGGAGGUGGGAACCGCAAGGUGCACCAUCGACCGAUCCGGAUGUCUUCGGAAGGAUUUGAGUAGGAGCAUAGCUGUUGGGACCCGAAAGAUGGUGAACUAUGCCUGAAUAGGGUGAAGCCAGAGGAAACUCUGGUGGAGGCUCGCAGCGGUUCUGACGUGCAAAUCGAUCGUCAAAUUUGGGUAUAGGGGCGAAAGACUAAUCGAACCAUCUA
rnacentral:rRNA from 1 species